rnacentral:lncRNA from 1 species
UAUGUACACCGUGAACAGUGAAAUAAAAUAUAUGAGAAGAUGCACUUUACAAGAGACAGAUAAAGCAAGCAAGUAAUGGAAGCAUGAACAUAUCCACUAUUCAGCUUUGUUCCUGCAGAUGAACAAUGCCAUGGUUUGAUGAACAAAUGGGAAGAAACCUGGGCCCCUAAAUGACUGUAUGAAGACACUUUGCCUCCUGAC